CAUGAAGAACAUCCGGUUGGAGCAGGAUGGCUCCUUUGAUGUGAAUCAAUGCCAUUCAACCAGGUAGCUUCUCAUUCCAGAACUUUAAACAUGUUCCUCCAUUUUGCAGAAAUACAAUCCACAUAAAGCUCCAUCAAUAACGGAGUUCCCAUUUUUUUCCAUCGGGGCAAGAAAAUUAAGUUUUCAUUCCUAAAUCCAGCCAAUGAAAAGGUGUCCUGCUCCCUUCUGUAGCAAUGCAGGACUGUUUUAUCUUGGAAUUGGGUUGUUGCGUGUUUUCUGGGCUGUCUGGCCACGUUCCAGAAGCUUUCUCUCCUGACGUUUCGCCUACAUCUAUGGCAGGCAUCCUCAGAGGUUGUGAGGUAUGACCUCACAACCUCUGAGGAUGCCUGCCAUAGAUGCAGGCAAAAUGUCAGGAGAGAAUGCUUCUGGAAAUUAUUAGAGUGAGACCUUGGGGUCUACGCGCAGCGGAGAUGAGGUUACUAGAUCACACAGACACAAAACAGGACACUGCAGUCUGCCAGUUUCAGAAAAUAACAAAGUUUACUUAGCACAUCUUAAUACAUGUCUACUUCCAAGUGAGCUUAAUCAGGAACUACAAACAGGAACUACAAAGCACAACUAUAGUACGGUUACAGAACAUUUACUUAUCGGUUUCUCUUUGGCUGUAAACCGGCUACUCCCUAAUUCUUCCCAGACAGAGAGAACUUGUUAUCUUACUUCUGCCAAGGUCUCUUCUCUCUCUACCUCUCUGUCUCUCACAACAACAAUUCCAGCAUACAAUUGAACAUAACUGAAUCCAUCUUGAAUACAUAUGAACACCAUUGUUAAUCAUAUUGUUACACAUUGAAAAAACAUACAUGCAUACUUUCAAUAAUCCUGACAGAAAUGGCCAGACAGCCUAGAAAACACACAACAACCCAGUUAUUCUAGCCGUGAGCGCCUUCGAGAAUAUCUUGGAAUUAGCUCUGCAACAAAGUUGAGCAAGUUACAUCUCCCCAGUGAGUCUUGGUGAAUGUGAUACUCAACUGGGCUGAUGUAGAACGUUUUGGGCCACUCGAAGACAUGAAAAGGAAGGUAGAUCAAGCAGCAGAGGCCCAUCAUCACUUCCCUAAAAGGCUUUGGGAGUAUUGCCAUUCUUCCAGUGCCAGAUGUUGCAAUUUCUGUCUGUUCUGGAGAGCCUUUGUCUGUUGCACUCCCUCUUCUGAACGAAUGGACGGAGAGCAUCAGACUCCCUUUUUUCUUGCUGCUUAAUCCAGUGAGCAUCGUCUUGGCGCACAGCAUCUGCACAAAGGUGUCGGAAGACAUGCUGCUCUUACAAAACUGACCUCUCCUUUCAGUGGACUUGCCGCAGCGGUUCUGUAGUGACUGGUGCUAUUAUUAAAAGGUUGUGUUUAAAGGUUUUCUUGGUGAAUCUGUGUGUUUGAUUACAUGCAUCUUGCAGAGAUUUCAAUGCACUCCGGUUCACAUGCCCUUUUGAGACGGGCCAAAGUUUGCCCAUGCCUAGUCCAGAGGAUCGAGACUUCGCUCUUGUUGUUUCUGCAGACUGAAAAACCUGUAAUUAGUAGCGUAAAGGACUUUUAAGAUGUUCUUUUCCUGUAUUUGUAUGUCCUGUAAAUACAUUCCAUAGUUUUCAAAGACUUAUCAAGUAUAUAUCAUGUACUUUAUUUUAAAUUGUCUUUACGCGACCGGUCAAUUUCUAGUGCACAUGAUAUUAUAAACUCCAAACUUGGGUGAUCCAAAAUAAAGCUUUAAAACCUA